rnacentral:rRNA from 1 species
ACUCCUACGGGAGGCAGCAGUGGGGAAUAUUGCGCAAUGGGCGAAAGCCUGACGGAGCAAUACCGCGUGAGGGAAGAAGGCUCUUGGGUUGUAAACCUCUUUUCUUAGGGAAGAAAAAAAUGACGGUACCUAAGGAAUAAGCAUCGGCUAACUCCGUGCCAGCAGCCGCGGUAAU